rnacentral:rRNA from 1 species
CCUACGGGAGGCAGCAGUGGGGAAUAUUGGACAAUGGGCGCAAGCCUGAUCCAGCCAUGCCGCGUGAGUGAUGAAGGCCUUAGGGUUGUAAAGCUCUUUCACCGGUGAAGAUAAUGACGGUAACCGGAGAAGAAGCCCCGGCUAACUUCGUGCCAGCAGCCGCGGUAAUACGAAGGGGGCUAGCGUUGUUCGGAAUUACUGGGCGUAAAGCGCACGUAGGCGGAUAUUUAAGUCAGGGGUGAAAUCCCAGAGCUCAACUCUGGAACUGCCUUUGAUACUGGGUAUCUCGAGUAUGGAAGAGGUGAGUGGAAUUCCGAGUGUAGAGGUGAAAUUCGUAGAUAUUCGGAGGAACACCAGUGGCGAAGGCGGCUCACUGGUCCAUUACUGACGCUGAGGUGCGAAAGCGUGGGGAGCAAACAGGAUUAGGAUACCCUGGUAGUCCACGCCGUAAACGAUAGAAUGUUACGCCGUCGGGCAGUCUACUCGUUCGGUGGUCGGCGAGCUACGACACUAAACUAACUUACCGUCCGUCGGGUACGGUACGGUCGGCGAAGAAGUUAAAACGUUAAAGUUAAGUAAGUUAAGUACGGUACGUUGAGUACGUUAGCCGAACGGACGACGACGAGGGAGGAGG